AGCUGGGGCCAUAUGAACCUAUAAGUACCGCAUCCCGUCCCGAUCUGCGAAGUCAAGCAGGUUACAGCUCGGUUAGUACUAUGAUGGGAGACCACAUGGGAAUACCGGGUGUCCCAGCUU
rnacentral:rRNA from 1 species